GGUCCCAUCGUCUAGCGGUUAGGACGCCGCCCUCUCACGGCGGAAGCAGGGGUUCAAUUCCCCUUGGGACUA
rnacentral:tRNA from 1 species